GACGAACGCUGGCGGCGUGCUUAACACAUGCAAGUCGAACGGAAAGGCCCUGCUUUUGUGGGGUGCUCGAGUGGCGAACGGGUGAGUAACACGUGAGUAACCUGCCCUUGACAUUGGGAUAACUUCAGGAAGCUGGGGCUAAUACAGGAUAGGAGCUCCUGCUGCAUGGUGGGGGUUGGAAAGUUUCGGCGGUUGGGGAUGGACUCGCGGCUUAUCAGCUUGUUGGUGGGGUAGUGGCUUACCAAGGCUUUGACGGGUAGCCGGCCUGAGAGGGUGACCGGCCACAUUGGGACUGAGAUGCGGCACAGACUCCUACGGGAGGCAGCGGUGGGGAAUAUUGCACAAUGGGCGGAAGCCUGAUGCAGCAACGCCGCGUGCGGGAUGACGGCCUUCGGGUUGUAAACCGCAUUCGCCUGUGACGGAGCGUGAGUGACGGUAAUGGGUAAAGAAGCACCGGCUAACUACGUG
rnacentral:rRNA from 1 species